rnacentral:rRNA from 1 species
UACGGAGGGGACUAGCGUUGUGCAUGAUGAUUGGGUGUAAAGGGUAAUUAGACAGUGUUGGUGUUGCGGUGUUUAAAGUUUAGAUUUAUUGUUUAAAAAGGCACGUGCCAAGCCUUCACUUGAGUAAAACAGGGGUUAGUAGAAUUUCAUUUCUAGGGUUAAAAUGCGUAGAGUAAUGAAGGAAUGCCAGUGGCGAAAAGCGACUAACUAGGUUUUACUGACGUUGUUAGACGAAAGCUAGGGGAUCAAACGGG